GAUGAACGCUGGCGGCGUGCCUAACACAUGCAAGUCGAGCGAUCUUCUUCGGAAGAGAGCGGCGGACGGGGUGAGUAAACGCGUGGGUAACCUGCCCUGUACACACGGAUAACAUACCGAAAGGUAUGCUAAUACGAGAUAAUAUGCUUUUAUCGCAUGGUAGAAGUAUCAAAGCUCCGGCGGUACAGGAUGGACCCGCGUCUGAUUAGCUAGUUGGUAAGGUAACGGCUUACCAAGGCGACGAUCAGUAGCCGACCUGAGAGGGUGAUCGGCCACAUUGGAACUGAGACACGGUCCAAACUCCUACGGAGGCAGCAGUGGGGAAUAUUGCACAAUGGGCGAAAGCCUGAUGCAGCAACGCCGCGUGAGCGAUGAA
rnacentral:rRNA from 1 species